GACGAACGCUGGCGGCGUGCUUAACACAUGCAAGUCGAGCGGUAAGGCCCUUUCGGGGGUACACGAGCGGCGAACGGGUGAGUAACACGUGGGUGACCUGCCCUCAGCUCUGGGAUAAGCCUGGGAAACUGGGUCUAAUACUGGAUAUGACUCCACGGUGCAUGUCGUGGGGUGGAAAGCCUUGUGCGGCUGAGGAUGGGCCCGCGGCCUAUCAGCUUGUUGGUGGGGUGAGGCCUACCAAGGCGACGACGGGUAGCCGGCGUGAGAGGGCGACCGGCCACACUGGGACUGAGACACGGCCCAGACUCCUACGGGAGGCAGCAGUGGGGAAUCUUGCGCAAUGGGCGAAAGCCUGACGCAGCGACGCCGCGUGAGGGAUGACGGCCU
rnacentral:rRNA from 1 species